GACGUAGGAGGCGAGCGUUGUCCGGAUUCAUUGGGCGUAAAGAGCACGCAGGCGGUUUGGCAAGUCGGAUGUGAAAACCCGAAGCUCAACUUCGGGCCUACAUCCGAAACUGCCCGACUAGAGGUAGGUAGGGGAGAUCGGAAUUCCUGGUGUAGCGGUGAAAUGCGCAGAUAUCAGGAGGAACACCGGUGGCGAAGGCGGAUCUCUGGGCCGUUACCUGACGC
rnacentral:rRNA from 1 species